rnacentral:rRNA from 1 species
CCUACGGGGGGCAGCAGUGAGGAAUAUUGGUCAAUGGGCGCGAGCCUGAACCAGCCAAGUCGCGUGAAGGAUGACUGCCCUCCGGGUUGUAAACUUCUUUUAUAAAGGAAUAAAGUGAGGCACGUGUGCCUUUUUGUAUGUACUUUAUGAAUAAGGAUCGGCUAACUCCGUGCCAGCAGCCGCGGUAAUACGGAGGAUCCGAGCGUUAUCCGGAUUUAUUGGGGUUAAAGGGAGCGUAGAUGGGUUGUUAAGUCAGUUGUGAAAGUUUGCGGCUCAACCGUAAAAUUGCAAUUGAUACUGGCAGCCUUGAGUACAGUUGAGGUAGGCGGAAUUCGUGGUGUAGCGGUGAAAUGCUUAGAUAUCACGAAGAACUCCGAUGGCGAAGGCAGCUUACUAAGCUGCCACUGACAUUGAUGCUCGAAAGUGUGGGUAUCAAACAGGAUUAGAUACCCCAGUAGUC